CCUACGGGAGGCAGCAGUAAGGAAUAUUGGUCAAUGGACGAAAGUCUGAACCAGCCAUGCCGCGUGAAGGAUGACGGCCCUCUGGGUUGUAAACUUCUUUUAUAGGGGACGAAAAAAGGGUAUUCUUACUCACUUGACGGUACCCUAGGAAUAAGCACCGGCUAACUCCGUGCCAGCAGCCGCGGUAAUACGGAGGGUGCAAGCGUUAUCCGGAUUCACUGGGUUUAAAGGGUGCGUAGGUGGGUCUAUAAGUCAGUGGUGAAAUCUCCGAGCUUAACUCGGAAACUGCCAUUGAUACUAUAGGCCUUGAAUUAUCUGGAGGUAAGCGGAAUAUGUCAUGUAGCGGUGAAAUGCUUAGAUAUGACAUAGAACACCAAUUGCGAAGGCAGCUUACUACGGAUAUAUUGACACUGAGGCACGAAAGCGUGGGGAUCAAACAGGAUUAGAUACCCUGGUAGUCCACGCCCUAAACCUAUGGAUACUCGACAUCAGCGAUACACUGUUGUGUCUGAGCGAAAGCAUUAAGUAUCCACCUGGGAAGUACGACCGCAAGGUUGAAACGUUAAGGAAUUAGACGGCUGAGACCGNGCGACGACGACGACGAGGGAGGAGG
rnacentral:rRNA from 1 species